rfam:Yarrowia lipolytica strain CLIB122 chromosome F complete sequence.
UCCCCUAUAGCUCAGUUGGUAGAGCGUUCGGCUUUUAGUAACCCUAAAGGCAUUGCAACCGAAAUGUCCAGGGUUCGAGCCCCUGUGGGGGAG